UAUCUACUAGUCAGUAGUCAGUCAUCUUUGACACGUUGAGGAAAAUCAAAUCACCAUUGAAGCCAUUAGACAGAAUAAUAAUAAUCAACUACGAUAUCAAUUUGUUUUUUAUUAAUUUAAUGGGAAAACGAUGAAAAGUGUUUAAUUAAGUAUAGCUUAUUUAUGCCGUUUCUUCAACGGAUUGCGUAAGGUUUCAUUCAAAUGACAAUAAAAUUAUGCUGGUUAUUAAUAUUCUACUCGUUCAAUGAAGUAGCAGGCUUGCUUUGUUACAACUGUACUUCUACACAUCGGGAUAGGAAGAAUUGUGGCGGAGAUUUUACGCCUGCAGAUGAACCCUUUGUCAACGACAGACAACUUUUGGUGAACUGCACUGGAGAUGGUGCCAUGUGCUUCGUUCGCUCGUGGACAGCGCGAGCGCGGUACGCAUGGAUGGUGCAGCGCGGGUGCUACCUGGCAAAUAAAGAUGACCCCAUUCCACGUUCUAUGACCACUCCUACUAGAGCUAUGUCUUGCAGAAAUGAAAGAUUUGUUGAAGCUGAAUAUAAAGUAUGUUUCUGUCAAGCUGAUUGGUGUAAUUCUACACAUUUGCUUCAAGUAAAAAGCUUUGCUAUAGUUGUUUUUUGUUCAGUUGCUUUAGCAUUGAUAUAGUUAAAGAUAAAUAAACUAUCACGCACCAAUAAUUAAUUCGCUAAUUUUAAUUGAUAACCCCAUACUGGCCUAUAAGACUAUGGUGUAUCGCAAUAAAAU